GACGAACCGUGCGAACGUUGUUCGGAAUCACUGGGCUUAAAGGGCGCAUAGGCGGGUGUGCAAGUCUGUGGUGAAAGCCUCCAGCUUAACUGGAGAAGUGCCAUGGAUACUGCACAUCUUGAGGAGGGUAGGGGCAUCUGGAACGGUCGGUGGAGCGGUGAAAUGCGUUGAUAUCGACCGAGACUCCGGUGGCGAAGGCGAGGGUGCUGGACCCUUUCUGACGCUGAGGCGCGAAAGCCAGGGGAGCAAAGCGGG
rnacentral:rRNA from 1 species